UCCAAACCCAUUGGUCGACGAGAAAGGAGG
rnacentral:piRNA from 1 species